rnacentral:rRNA from 1 species
UACGUAGGGGGCAAGCGUUGUCCGGAUUUAUUGGGCGUAAAGAGCGUGUAGGCGGCCUUACAGGUCAGCUGUGAAAACUCGAGGCUCAACCUCGAGACGUCGGUUGAAACCGUAUGGCUAGAGUCCGGAAGAGGAGAGUGGAAUUCCCGGUGUAGCGGUGAAAUGCGCAGAUAUCGGGAAGAACACCCGUGGCGAAGGCGGCUCUCUGGGACGGUACUGACGCUGAGACGGCGAAAGCGUGGGAGCGAACAGG